rnacentral:rRNA from 1 species
UGGACGAAAGUCUGACCGAGCAACGCCGCGUGAGUGAAGAAGGUUUUCGGAUCGUAAAGCUCUGUUGUAAGUCAAGAACGUGUGUGAGAGUGGAAAGUUCACACAGUGACGGUAGCUUACCAGAAAGGGACGGCUAACUACGUGCCAGCAGCCGCGGUAAUACGUAGGUCCCGAGCGUUGUCCGGAUUUAUUGGGCGUAAAGGGAGCGCAGGCGGUCAGGAAAGUCUGGAGUAAAAGGCUAUGGCUCAACCAUAGUGUGCUCUGGAAACUGUCUGACUUGAGUGCAGAAGGGGAGAGUGGAAUUCCAUGUGUAGCGGUGAAAUGCGUAGAUAUAUGGAGGAACACCAGUGGCGAAAGCGGCUCUCUGGUCUGUCACUGACGCUGAGGCUCGAAAGCGUGGGUAGCGAACAGGAUUAGAUACCCUGGUAGUCCACGCCGUAAACGAUGAGUGCUAGGUGUUAGGCCCUUUCCGGGGCUUAGUGCCGGAGCUAACGCAAUAAGCACUCCGCCUGGGGAGUACGACCGCAAGGUUGAAACUCAAAGGAAUUGACGGGGGCCCGCACAAGCGGUGGA